GCACCCGGUGCCUGGCUGGGGGAGGACGCAGUGGCCAGCAGGGGUCAGGGAGCCAGGCCUGACUCCUUGCUGAUGCCCCAUCCCUUCCACAGGUGCAUCCAGAUCAACACCGACUCCAGCCUCCUCAACUCCGAGUUCUGCUUCAUCCUCAAGGUUCCCUUUGAGAGUGAGGACAACCAGGGCAUCGUGUAUGCCUGGGUGGGCCGGGCAUCAGACCCUGACGAAGCCAAGUUGGCAGAAGACAUCCUGAACACCAUGUUUGACACCUCCUACAGCAAGCAGGUUAUCAACGAAGGCGAGGAGCCUGAGAACUUCUUCUGGGUGGGCAUUGGGGCACAGAAGCCCUAUGAUGACGAUGCCGAGUACAUGAAACACACACGGCUCUUCCGGUGCUCCAAUGAGAAGGGCUACUUUGCAGUGACUGAGAAAUGCUCUGACUUUUGCCAAGAUGACCUGGCAGAUGAUGACAUCAUGUUGCUAGACAACGGCCAAGAGGUCUACAUGUGGGUGGGGACCCAGACUAGCCAGGUGGAGAUCAAGCUGAGCCUGAAGGCCUGCCAGGUAUAUAUCCAGCACAUACGGUCCAAGGAACAUGA
rnacentral:sRNA from 1 species